UACUGAUGUGUUUUGGUUUGAAAUACUCUCCAUAUGGUGAAGCAGAAAUUAUCUUGUAAAAUGUGGAAACCGUAUUGAGAUUCGUGCUACAUCAGCUUGUAAUGUUUAUUUCAAAGACCAUGGCAUCUAAAAUGAUUUUAAAUGGAAAGCAGAAGGGUGGCUGAUUAUUGUGCUUCUUGAGACCAGUACUUUUUUUGUUUAAGAUUACCUUUGCAAUAUCCCAUAUAACAUGGACAACGCUUAGUUGAGGGCCUUAAUACCUUGAGUAAUCAACUUUUCAAAUCCCACAAACUUCUCUGACAACAGGUAGGAUGUAGAGGUUAGGGUAUUCCAGAUCCUUAACCCUGGUCCACACUAAUCUUGAAAAUGCUAGUAACAGUACCAUUUAAGUUAUGUUUAACCAUGGCUAUCAUAGAGAUGAGUUGCUGAAGAAAGGAUUUAACGUGUAUUUAAAACCUUCAUUGUAUUUGACUUUUGUUGAAACAUGUCAACAGAACACCAUACCAGUAUUCCAGUCUAAGUCAAAGAUGAUCUGAACCCAAAUCACUGAGAUGUGCAUCCACUGCAGAUGAUGUAUUAAUUGCCCUUGUGGAACAGACCCAAAAGUCCAUUGCCUGCUAAGAGGUGUGAUUGUCCAUGACUUUACUACAGGGCCGUUGGAUAUGGUUGAGCACGUUGAUGAUGAGCUCCGCCUUAACUGAAGGUUUAGUCUUCAACAAAAAUCAUUUCUUCCAAAAGAUCGCUACAUAGGGAAGUUAAAUGCAUGUUCAUAAACUGGAAAAGCCUUGUACCUGUGUAGUUUCACCCCAGGACUUGCAUGAGUAAACUACACUCGCUGCUGUUAGAUGUCUAAAAUGAGCAGCUGCAGACAUGACUGUGUGGUGACGUCAAGUGUGGUUUGUUUUGCAACAAGCAGCCUUUGGUCAUGAGUUGCAACAUAAGCAGGCAUAUCUAAACCAUUUGGAAGUUCCUCGCAUCGCAUGUGAGCCGUGGGUGUCUGUAUUUUCUCAGUGCAGAGACAACAUAAGCGUCUGGAUCAGAGGGAAGCACAUUGGAGCCCACGGAUGGUGUGUCCAUGAUGAGCACCCAGCCCAGAGAAGAUGGGCAGGCAGUGUGUGGUUUCAACUCUUCCUGUGGUUACAAAGGAAAGACAAGAAGUGCAGAUGCAUAUUUACAAUAUGCUAAGAAAUAUGCACGUACCCUAGGCACUGACACAGGCUGGGUGUCCAGUGCCCAACUAAAGUUUCCAUAUGGCCACUAGCUCUGUGGUUAUAUCUCAGCGCAUCUCUUCCUGCCAGUUGCUGUUACAUUCACCCUCACGCGAUGUCUCCAUUAGAACAAUUGGGCUUUCCUGCCACACUGUGUCAGUGAGCCUGCCUAGAUUACUAUGGGUAAGUAGGAAAAUACGUGACUCAUACAAAGCACCCGGGACUUAAUCCCUGAAAGAGCUCUGGCCUUGGGCCUCAGUGGUGCCAAUUUGGAACGUGUUUAUCUUCUUGACCCCUCUGUUUUACCUGCUCAGUCCCACUAAGCUCUGACCCUGGCUAUUGUUUCCCCAGCCAAUGAAAUGAGCAACAGGAUAAACUUUGAAUAAACUCCAACGCUCCCAUCCCCGUGGACUACAGCAUCCGGCGGCUAGACUGCUGCCAGGCCAAUGGGGUACAGGAGGGAGGGUGGAGGCAUGUGCAGGAUGGGGUCAUGUGGAGCCUGGAAGAUGAAGGCAAGGAGCUGUAACUUAUUGUGAUCCGUUACUGCACAAUACUGCCCUGUUGUCUUUAUCUAGCUAAGCUUCUUAUCUGGCCCCCAUUAUCUGAGCGACUCACAAUCUUUAAUGCAUUUAUUAUUAGUAGUAGUAAUUCUUUGUUAUGCAGUACAGCCUAGGAGCCCCAGUCACAGACCAGGACCCCAGUAUGGACAAACACAGAACAAAAGUAUUCAUCCUCCCAAUGCCCUUUGCAAGUGCCGUUAUUCCCAUUUUACAGGUGGGGAAUGGAGGCACAGAGAGAUGAGAGGCCAGAUUUUUAGUGCACCAAAUGAUCCAGGUGGGCAAUGAGUGGGAUUUUCAAAAGCUCUGAGCUGCAUCUUUAGGUGCCUAAAACCUGGCCCUAAAUGACUUGCCCAAGCGGUCACAGAGGAAAUCUGUGACAGAGCAGAAACUUGAAGAGCCUCCCAAGACCUAGGCUAGUGCCCUAACCACUGGAUAAUUAGCCCUGCCUCUCAUUUUAUAAGGGAAGCUUCCUCUGUCCAUAAUGCUCGUGUGUCCCUGCUGCUGGGCCUUUGGCCCAAAUUGACUCCUUGGCAGGCCGAGAGCAUGGCAGACUUGCACGGCCUGUGUGAGAGGGGCUGACCCCUUGACAGUUUUGUGUGUUUGUCCCUCUCUGUAUAAAGCAGCUCCCUCCCCGCACCAGCUGUUGUUCUUUCCUGUUCCUGGAAGCCAGGUUGCGCAUUAGGGUCAGACCCAAUUAUAACAUGUGGUGGGUACUUUGGAGCCUUUAAACCUAGACACGUUCCCCCACAGUGAAAAGAAGCAUUGCUGUGACUGCUUUCCUGUUCUGUAUCUAUUCAUAGCUAGAACGAUCUAGCUUCUGAAGGUAGCAUCCCUCAUUAGUCUGCUCAAUGGAGCCAUUCAGAUUACCUUAUCAUUAUCAGCCAGAUGGAUGAGUUUGAAAUAACCCCAUUGACAUGCUCUGGUUAUGCACCAUUAUAAACCAGCCGCACCAAAACUCCCAAGCUGAGGUGUUGGCUGAAGGGACCGAUUGCUGGGGAAGCCGUGUGUCGCUUCUGUGUUUGCUUAACCUACUGUGUGAAUUCUUGCGAUGAGCACAGUUUGGCUUCAGUCCCUUACAAGUAAAACCUCCCUUGUUACCUGGAGGGAAUAUUGAUACAUGAACAAAGGUAACGUACGUAGGGCGGCGAGAGCAAAAUAAACAGCUAUGGAAUGGAGGGAAAGUUUGCAUCAACGCCAAGCAUAUUGAAAACAAUGUCUCAGUUGGGAGGUGUCUAGACAUUGAUCCCAUGUAGCGGACACAAGGCUCUGCUGCAGCAGACCCUCAGAAGAGCUUGGGAGACACAUGCAGAGAGCAGAGAAAGAUGACUGACAGAGCAUGACUCUCCCAUGUGCCCUCUCACAGAGACUGUUUUCUGCUGCAAUCGUGUUCACAGUGAAAAUAUUUUCGCCACUCCAGGGUUUUUGUCAUGCAGGCUUGAAGGGCCACAUCAUCAUCAUAAUACACACUGCUGUGGUGGUGUCCUUCCAAGGAGCUGACGGCUUUUAAUGCCUUGGAAUGAAUUAAGCCGCAAAGAGCCCUUCUGAGAUGGUUAGGGAUUGGCAGCCCUGCUUUACAGAUGGGGACAGUGAGGAAGAGAAAGAUCAGGUGACUUGUCCAUAGGCCCCCUGGAAUUUAGGGCAGAGCUGGGAAACGAGCUCAGGUCCCCUGAUACCACAGCUGGGGUCUUAAGCACAAGCCUAUUCUUCCUAGCUGCAGCUUCCAAAAUUGUGCACUCGGCUGAUCUGGUCCGUAAAAACUGGCGUGGACUAGCUUUGUCCAUGUACAUUAAAAAAACGGGAUGUGUUCCAAGAUGUGCAGGGUAGGAUGACCCAGUGGUGUAAUGAUGGGGGUGUGUGUAUCCUUAUUGCUGCCUGCCCUCUGUUCCUGUUUGUUUUUUGGUGCCUGCUCCCUCAACUCCGUGGUCCAGUUUGCACACAUGUGCAUGCGGGGGGGUGUUUGUGUGUGUGUGUACAUAGCAUUAGGUGUGUGCAGUUGCUGCUACAUACCUGCCAUUGGGACUGUAUUAUGUUUUGUUCAGGCUGUUGCUGGUUAUUACAUGUUUUGAUUGACCACCUACUUGUGAUUCUUGUCUUAAUUUCCUUGUAUUUUGAGAUGGCUGUUCUGGGUGCAGCAGAUCAUAACAAGUGGUAAAAACACUUGCACCCACUGUCUGCCCUACUGUUCUCACCAGGGGAACUGCACCAGCACUAGACCAACGGAACAGGGGUGGGAAGCGCUGAAAUUUCCCAGUGUAGAUGGGGUCCCUGACACUUUUGCUUCCUGGGACAGGCAGGGCUAGGAGGAUCCAGGAAGGUGGUUUGGGGGGAAUUUUGCACCCCACCAUAAUACCUUCUCCCCACCCCAAUAUAGCCUUGUGGGUCCUUGGCUUUGUGGGGUGAAGUGUUUGCAUGGAGCAUGCAAGUUUGCAUUGUUGGAGAGGGUACUGGGGUGAAAAGGGGGCUGCCUAGAAUGCUUGAAGGCCCUAAUCCAUAUCAGCUCCCUGCCUGAACUGCCUGCCCAGUAGGAAAUGAGGGCUCGCUUAGCACCCUCCUGAGGUACAGCCACCUGCUUAAGUCCCUGCAGAAGGAAGACAAAUGGGUUGCCAAAGAACAAUGACUAACUCAGUGGGCCCCAGACCUGUGGGCCUGUUUGCUCUCCUCAAGCCCAAGCAGUGGCUAUAAGGCAGAGCAGUGUGUAUUUCCUGGCGGUAUGUACCUGCUCAACGGCACUGUGUCUCCCUGACGGGUGCUGCUUCAGCAGACAACUGCUUGCCCGCAGCAGAGCUGUCAUGCACCUCUGGCUUUCAAGCUUGUGUCUCGUGGGCAAAGUAUCUGCACCCUAGAUCUUGCACAGCCCUAGGAAAUGGCCGUGCUUCUUGAGCACACGGGCUGUGGAAGAUGGUGUCACCUUGAAAAGGGAUCAGAGAAACUGAUAUGUAAAAGGCGCUCAGCUACUACAGGGACGAUGAGCAUGGCAUUAAUGUGCAGACAGAUAGAUUAGAUAGAAAAGGGCAAGCUCAGAGCUAAUUCUCAGCAGCAGGCGAAGAACCUCCAGCUCACUUCAAAGUAGCAGCCCACACAGCCCUGCUGAGAUAAACCAACACAGCCCCUGUUUAGUGACUGGCUUUCUCUUGCCGUAUUCAUGCAGGGCUAGAUUGUUCCUCUAAGGCACAGCCCUGGGCAACACUUGCUGCAUAAAGUGCUCUUCCUCAAGAGACCCUUCUGAAUCAGAGUCCCCUCCCUACUUCCCCAUGCUUGGCGGGGAGUGUGUCUGUGUGUGUCUGUGUGCGCGUAACAUCCUGCUGGUCUACCCUGGCAGCAAGCUCUGCACCACAGUGCAAAUCAGCUGUGUUGGCCAAUACGUUGUGGGUAGGGUGGAGCCAAGAUCUGGCCAUUCCCUGUUCACCCCCUCCCCGCUUGCGUGGUAACACACAGCGCUUGCCUCCGCCUUUGCACCCAGCACCAAGGUCCCGGGCCCAAGGUCCAAAUUGCCCCCACUGGGAGAUGGGCCAGGUUCUUACUUCACUUCCCUGCACAGGAUGUGGGCCGAGUUACCAUCCCCCUACCGUUAACUUACACCCCACCUGGACUCCCACUGCUACUUGUCUCUCAGAGACAAUCUGUGCCUGUAGGAGCCCAGCCUGCCUGCACGUUUCUACAGUGCUGGUACGGAAGCAGACAGACAGGCAGCUUAAAGAACGCAGCCACGGUAACUCCGGCUGUACCCUGAUAAGAGUAACAGUUGACUCAGAGGAACGCACUGCUCCAAAGCAGCUUAGAAACAGCCCAGACAAUCGGAGCGUUUCAGAAUAUUUCUUCUGGGGCCACAACAUUUUCAAAAAAAUCCAUUGGCCUUUCCUGCCAUUCUCCGCUAGUUGCUGCUCCCUUUCCAGGGAUCGUGAUAACAGGGGCUGUCCUGGACGCCUCUCCAGAACUCAUGCUUUUCAACAGUCUCUCUCUGCUUGACCUCGUGGGCUGAAGAAGGUAACUACUGGCCAGGUUUGGCCUGGUGCUGGCCCACGGGACAUCCCUCCUUCCAAGAAGCUGUGAUUGUCCUCUGAACAUAAAGGAGUUUUGGACGUGGGCUCUGCUCUGAUUUUCAGCACUAUUUAAGCGACUCUCCUCAGCUGGUGAUAAGUGGCUGUGAAUCUUAUUCUGCCACCACGGUUUUAGGGUUAUAGGCUCUUAAACUGAUAGAGAAUAGACCUUGCCUUUGAUCUGUAAUGUGACUGCCUCUGCUUACAUAUAUAUAUGAAAAUUGAUUCAUAUUAACAAAGAACCAGUGCAAAUAUAUUUUGAAGGUUCACGAAGAUCAGAGAACUCUUUCCCCCCAUUAUGGGACACGUAUGUGGUCAUGUACCUGAGAUACAGGGCUCGGAGCCCAAGGAUCUGAGUUGUUUCUGGCUCAACCACAGACUUCCUGUAUGAUCUCAGGUGAGCCAUUUAAACUCCCCGUGCCUCAGUUUCCCCAUCCGUGAUAAGGAUAUGAAACUAUUCAUCUUUAAUAGGGCUGUUGGCCGGCAUAAGCAGUUUGUGAAGCACUUUGCAAUCUUCAUAUGAAUGGUGCAAUAUAAAUGGCAAGUAUUAUUAUUUUUCAUUUUCAUACCAUCACCACCUGUGUUCAGCUGGGACUGAAAGGAAUAAGUGUUAAAAUAUCACAAGAAGGGCUACUGAGAGAUCACUCCCAAGUUCUGCAGCCCCAAGAGGUUGGGACAGGACUGGAUAAACAUCUGGGGGCAGAGCCUUAAUGAGUGUAAAUCACUCAGUGAAGUGACACUGAUGUACACUGGCUGAGGAUCUGGCUCGUUCUGGAUGCUUAGCCUAGUUGUGCUGGACCCUUUGAAGUUUGCUCAUCACCAAUGAGUAGAUAAGAUGUAUAGGAACUUUUUCAACCAUCUGGCAAUAUUUAAUAACUGCUACACUCCAUAGCAGACACUAUUUGUAAGAUGUGUAUAAGGACUGAUACUUUCAGGGACACAGCUGCUUUUCUCUUCACAGCAAAGGCAUCAAACUUUGGUUCUAUUCUGGGAAAAAAAUUGAAAAUGGUUGCAUGUUUAUUGUCUCUCAUUGAAUCCAGAUGCAAUGUGCUGAUUUUACAUGUGCUGAGUUUACCAUCGUUGCCCCUUUUUCCCAGCAGUAGCAAAAUUCUGGGACCUUGCGGAUCAGCUUUCCAGGGGAUGAGAAAUCUGUCACACAGAGUCUGGGUAUAAUCUAAGUGUAACCUGGUUUAUUUACACAUAUACAUCCAUUCCUAGAAUAGGGGCAGUUGCAAAUAGCGUGCAAACAGUCCCCUCUUCCAGAAAUCUCAGCCCUACACUACUGCCCAGUUAUGCCUCAAGAAUUACCUCAAAAUAUAGAGAAUAAAGCAGAGAGCUGUGGUUUAUUGAGGACUGUGUUGGAACUGCAAGCUGUCACUUUGAGAGAGCUGGGUGGUAAUUCCUGUUCCUGCUUUCAGGCGAGGGGCUCUGUAGGAAAGUGCAAUCAGAGACAGAGUCAGUCUGGAAAGAACCAGCCUAGAAAAAGAUGUGGUGAGUUGUGCCUAUCUGCUUUGGGGAGCAGUCUGCUUUGUCUCUCUGUGUGUUUUUGG